rnacentral:rRNA from 1 species
CCUACGGGAGGCAGCAGUGAGGAAUAUUGGUCAAUGGGCUUGCGCCUGAACCAGCCAAGUCGCGUGAGGGAAGACUGCCCUAUGGAUUGUAAACCUCUUUUGUCAGGGAGCAAUGCAGUCCACGUGUGCGCUUAGCGAGAGUACCUGCAGAAAAAGCAUCGGCUAACUCCGUGCCAGCAGCCGCGGUAAUACGGAGGAUGCGAGCGUUAUCCGGAUUUAUUGGGUUUAAAGGGUGCGUAGGCGGAAUAUCAAGUCAGCGGUAAAAAUUCGGGGCUCAACCCGGGCGGGCCGUUGAAACUGGUGUUCUUGAGUGGGCGAGAAGUAUGCGGAAUGCGUGGUGUAGCGGUGAAAUGCAUAGAUAUCACGCAGAACUCCGAUUGCGAAGGCAGCAUACCGGCGCCCAACUGACGCUGAAGCACGAAAGCGUGGGUAUCGAACAGGAUUAGAUACCCUAGUAGUC